rnacentral:tRNA from 1 species
GACAGUUUGGCCGAGUGGUCUAAGGCGCCAGAUUUAGGCUCUGGUCCGAAAGGGCAUCGGUUCAAAUGCCACAGCUGUCA